GCCGUGAUGAUCUCACCCCUUUAUGUCUCUGUAGAGAUGGUAUCGCCCAACUUCACAGCUUGAGUAGCGUGGUUUGGAAAGGUUUUGAGAGUAUAUGGAAACUGUCAGGCACUGGAACCUAAUGAGAAAACAAGAGCUGGAGCCUGGCCAAAAAAAGGAGAGCUUGCUGGUGAUUCAUUGGACCAGACCACACCAGAUUCCCCCACCCCAAUGGGAGAUAAUAAGGCCAUUUAUAUGGGUGUCAGUGGACAGGAAGCAUGACCAUAUCUGGAUUCUGAAGGGCAGACAAUCAAGUCUUCAGAAGAAAAUGUUGUAAGAAACCACACAGACUUUUAUAGUGAUGAAUGCUGUCUGGUGGGAUGCUAUCCCUUUAAACGUCUGCCGACGGGACAGGUAUUUCUAAUUUGCGCACAGUGAUUACCAAAGUCAUUUGAAUGAAUAUCAUUGCGA
rnacentral:lncRNA from 1 species